CUGAUUGAUCAUAUAGUGGAGCACAGUCAUGGUGAAAGCAGCAUGGUUGUGCUCCUUUUUCAUUCCCCCUGACCCAAUUGAACAUCCCAGUCCUUUCCUCCAUAAUUUCUAGUGUUCACCUAACCCUUCUGGAGGGCAGAUACAAUUCAUUCACCUAGUAAAACUUUCAUGGAUGGAUAUGACAAGCACCAGAGCUAGUACAAGAGAAACAAAAGGAGUGACUGGCCACAUGAGUAGUAGAAGCAAUACUGUCUCCGUUUAUUUACAGUAAAUUGGUGUAAUCCAUCUCACUAAGCCACUGGUGUAGCCCAAACUUAACUCUCCUCUUCCAAAAACACCCAGUCCACAAAGUAAAUAAACAAACAAACAAAUAAGGUUAUUUAAAUUGUUUGAACUCAUAUUUUGGGGGAGGAAAAAACUCAGCAUGGUACGGGGCUAUAUAAUUAGCUCUUUCAGGACGUAAGGGGAUGGGAAUACCCAAAGUAAGGGAGGAUGAUCACAAGCAGACAAGGACAAUAACCUUAUACCUUGGUAUCUGGAGUAACAUGUCUGAUCACAGCCUAAGACCACAAGUGAAGAGCUAGAGGUACAAGUUUACUUAGCUCACACAUCAGCCAUCGCUCCUGGCCACAUUGCAGCAUUGUAACCAUGUUGCGUCUGUGGUUCGGUAUACUUGCAUUUGUAAUUGCAGGCUCAGCACCCACUCUUUUAAAGUCCGAGCACUGUAUCUAAUUUCCAGUACUGCCCUGCCUAACAGUCAUGAGCAAGGUGCCAGUUAAAGCUAUGCGAUGAUGCUAUUAUUAUAGCUAGAGAACAAGGAAAAGAUCUUGGCAGCCCAGAUGACGGACGACAGACACAUGCAUGGGUAGACACAUGCUACGAAAAAUUGCACUUACUAUACUGAAAGCCCAGCUUCGCUGAACUGCCACUUGAAUGGCAGAGGCUUCUCAGAUGAGUCAGACCUUUAUGAGCCUUCCACGUUUGCAGUUUGGAACAGAAAAUAUGCUUCUCUUUCAGCUAAAUUUUUCCACUUGUUACUCUGAUGCAGAAAAAUUUUAGAUCUCCGUCACCAAUUGGUUUAAAGGGGGCACAAAGGACUGUCCCUACCUCAUUUGCCUAUCAGUUAAUUAGCAUGCAGAAUUUUUGUGUUGUAGAUAAAGGUUUUUCUUCUGUUUCUUUCCUUUGAUUGAGCUCUUGAAAGCUAUUGCUGAAGAUAGAUAUCCUGAAAGAAAUGAGACAGUACAGCCACUGACACCCUCAGUCAUAGAGCAGCUUUUUGCAUGUGAUUGGGGAAUAGAGAGUCUUGCUUGGAUUUCCAGCCACAUGGAUGUUAAAGAAGAAGAAAAAAAAUGGAAGUAACCUUCCACCUAUUUCAUAGCAUGCUCUGAAAAGCAAGCACCAUCCCAAUGGAGACUAGAGGUUUACCAGUAAAAGGUAAUCAGGGCAAGUCCCAAGAUCUUUAAAGAUCCCGAGCACUUUUAAGAAAGAAUCAAGUAUGUGAUUCAACGUCUCUGGCAGAACACCAGACACGUAAAUGCCCUCUGCCCCCCGCUUACCCAGAGCCAUCGGCAGGAUAAAAGACUGAGCUAUCUCGAAGUGCCGCAAUACAAGAUGUAACAGCUUCCUACCAACUUGGAAAUGAUGCAUUUUGAUGGGGACCUCUAAAGAACAUACAUGAGGGUCUCUUCAGUCAGAGGCAUUUUGCUGCCACCUUUCAGAGGUCACAAGAUCCAGUAUCCAGCAGGGAUGUAAGCAGACUGGCUGCAACAACAUUUUGAACCAGAUGCAACUUCAGUGAAACUUUUAUCAUUCCCUAAGAAUAUCAGAAGAUCUUCUUCAGCCUCUACAAGACCACAGUGUUUCCAGUAAGUGAAAACUUAAUUUUGACUAAGAAUAUUCUGGGUACCAUAAGAGGAUCUUCAAGCAACGCACAACCCAGGAAAGGAUGUGGAAUUACCAAGAGAGGAUAAUGGCUCUGUCCUCUUCAGCAAACAGCGUUGAGAUCUGCUGAUGAAAAGCACUAGAUAAGAGUGAGGUACUAUCUAUGCCAACAGUCAAAUCAGACAGCAUCAUGUAGAAUCUGUUUACUUUUAUAGUGAAAUAUAUUAGACUGUCAAAAGGACACUUCAUCAUCUAUAAUAAAUAUUCAUCUACAUGUAUCAUGUACUUGAGCUGCAUGAAUGAUGAGAUUAGAGUACAGAAAUGAAUGAGAAACUCAUAAGAUAAAU
ensembl:lncRNA